rnacentral:lncRNA from 1 species
GGCAGCCUCCGAAAUACCACCAAGCGGUGGGUUGUGGCACCCAGCAGAGCUGGGGUGGAGGUAUCGCGCUAAAAAAUAGUAGCUCAGACUUCCACGCUCUUUUCUAAGUACUUGACAAGCCCUCCAACUUUACAGAUCAAGAAACUGAGGCAUAGACAAAGGUCAGUUAAGUAUCGCGCUCAGAGUCACCCAGCUAAUUAAAUGACCUAGUGGGAAUCUGAACGCAGGUUUUCCAGAGCCUAGGGUGGCUAACCAUUAUGCUAUAGCGCUCACCUUGGAAUCACAGAGCCACCCACAAUACGAAACUUAGUGUUCGCUUGAUGGCUACAUAUUUUGUACGUUACAUUGUGGCUGGCACAGAGGCACUCGAAAAAUAUUAGUGGAAGGAAUGGGUGUCUGAAUAAGUGAUUGACAGAAUCAUGGAUGGCAAGUGAGUUUAGAGAAAACAGCGCCAACCAUUGUUCCUUCUAAGAGGAUUGUCUUACCUUAAUAAAACCUCUAGCUGUUUUUUGAAUGUUUGCAGGUAACAGGAAACUCUUAUUCAAAAAUAUAUGAACUUCCCACCCCUGCUCCUCAGCCAAUCAGCCUGGCAGCAUUUGAACUUGCUGGGGCACAUACCCAAAGCAGCUUUUACUUGGUCUCAGCCAUUUUUUCCCCACCCUGUUCCUUCUCUGUAGGCUUCCGCUCAGGGUCAGGCAGCCUGGAACUGCAUUUGAAGUGAUUCUGAACAUAUAGCAAGAAAGGAGUGUAUACCCACCAAACAUGGCUCACUGGCUUCCCUUCCACAGGCGGGUGCUGGUGGGGUGAGGGGAGCGUGGCUUGCAGCUCAGUGCUUAUUUUUUAAUUCUCGGACCACAUAAGGAGCACCACCAUCCGUGCAGCUUGCUUCAAAGUCACAGCCCCUCACCAGCUGUGAGGUCACACCUCUCGGAAGGCAGUAGUCUACCUUAACCAACAGCUCUGAGAUGCUCAUCAGUGGGACCACAUCUGCAAUUUGGAGAGCUGCCACUGGUGUUCUGUGCUGUCCUGCUCCUUCCGGUGGCCCAAGAGAGGAUAUGAUUUUUAAAAAGUCGCUAGUUGGGCAACCUGAAAUGAGGACAAGUUUCACUUCAAGUUACCUGAAAGUGAACUUUCGCCUUUCCAAUUUGAUUCCUCCAACAUCUGUUGAAUGGCUCUCGGUCCUGGUCUGGAGGGACCAGCAGGACCCUGUGACCUCAACUUGUGGCCAGCCCAGGUUGGAAGCAUCAGGUGAUUUCCAAGGAGGCCACAGACUUCCAUCCCACGUGGCCAGGUCGUAGCAGAGAGCAGCCUUGCCGAAACUCACUUACCCCUUGUGCAGGGGGGCCUGGUGACAAGUGAUGCUGAACUGGAGGUUCGGGAUGCUAAUUUUAUUUAUUAUCUGUGUACAGCUUGGGGAGGAGAAAAGGCUCAUAAAAGUGUUCUAGGCUGGUCAUUCUGAAUGUGAACAUUUAUUUAUCUGCAAAACUGCCGAAUGUCCCCGCAGGAAGUCGCGGGCGCAGCAACCCCUGACUGCACAGACAAAAGUCUCCCCUUUACACAGGGCUGCUUUUAUUGUUUCCAACAGCUUUGUGCUUUCCCUGGGGGAAAAGGAGAGUCACAUAGCGAGUUUUCUUCCUCUUUUCUCACGCUGCAGAGGAAGUGAUGUUGUGGAAACAGUGGCAUUAACUUGGCUUGCAAAGCGCAUCGGAGCCAGAGUUGGGAAAAGCUCGUGCCAGGUGGCAUUCCUAUGGCUUUCCUCCUCCAAGCCCCAAGAAAGCCCAGCCUGGGUCUGAGCAUGGGGAUGGAGUGCACACACAGGUGGCACAAAGCCAGAGGAGCCAUAUUUGGAUUCAUUCCCUGGGUAUAAGGGGCUCCCAGGGAAUGGGUGCUCCUGACCCCUUGAGCUGCUU